rnacentral:rRNA from 1 species
UGCUAGAAGAUGACGAGUGGCGGACGGGUGAGUAAUGCUUGGGAACUUGCCUUUGCGAGGGGGAUAACAGUUGGAAACGACUGCUAAUACCGCAUAAUGUCUUCGGACCAAACGGGGCUUAGGCUCCGGCGCAAAGAGAGGCCCAAGUGAGAUUAGCUAGUUGGUAAGGUAACGGCUUACCAAGGCGACGAUCUCUAGCUGUUCUGAGAGGAAGAUCAGCCACACUGGGACUGAGACACGGCCCAGACUCCUACGGGAGGCAGCAGUGGGGAAUAUUGCACAAUGGGGGAAACCCUGAUGCAGCCAUGCCGCGUGUGUGAAGAAGGCCUUCGGGUUGUAAAGCACUUUCAGUUGUGAGGAAAAGUUAGUAGUUAAUACCUGCUAGCCGUGACGUUAACAACAGAAGAAGCACCGGCUAACUCCGUACCAGCAGCCGCGGUAAUACGGAGGGUGCGAGCGUUAAUCGGAAUUACUGGGCGUAAAGCGCACGCAGGCGGUUUGUUAAGCUAGAUGUGAAAGCCCCGGGCUCAACCUGGGAUGGUCAUUUAGAACUGGCAGACUAGAGUCUUGGAGAGGGGAGUGGAAUUACCAGGUGUAGCGGUGAAAUGCGUAGAUAUCUGGAGGAACAUCAGUGGCGAAGGCGACUCCCUGGCCAAAGACUGACGCUCAUGUGCGAAAGUGUGGGUAGCGAACAGGAUUAGAUACCCUGGUAGUCCACACCGUAAACGCUGUCUACUAGCUGUGUGUGUC